UACGUAGGGUCCAAGCGUUAUCCGGAAUCACUGGGCGUAAAGCGUGCGUAGGCGGUUUGUUAAGUGAGAUGUGAAAUCGUGUGGCUCAACCAUAUCGUUGUAUCUCAUACUGGCAAACUAGAGGAUAGCAGAGGCAAGUGGAAUUACGAGUGUAGCAGUGAAAUGCGUAGAGAUUCGUAGGAACACCAAUGGCGAAGGCAGCUUGCUGGGCUAUUUCUGACGCUCAGGCACGAAAGCGUGGGGGAGCGAACAGG
rnacentral:rRNA from 1 species